rnacentral:rRNA from 1 species
GGCGCACGGGUGCGUAACACGUGGAUAAUCUGCCCUUGAAUUCGGGAUAACCUUCCGAAAGGUUGGCUAAUACCGGGUAAGCUCACGGUGACUUCGGUCGCUGUGGGAAAAGUAGACCUCUGCUUACAAGUUUACGUUUGAGGAUGAGUCCGCGGCCCAUCAGCUAGUUGGCGGGGUAAUGGCCCACCAAGGCUACGACGGGUAGCUGGUCUGAGAGGACGAUCAGCCACACUGGAACUGAGACACGGUCCAGACUCCUACGGGAGGCAGCAGUGGGGAAUUUUCCACAAUGGGCGAAAGCCUGAUGGAGCAACGCCGCGUGUGUGAUGAAGGUCUUCGGAUCGUAAAGCACUUUCGACCGGGACGAAAAACCUCUGGCUAACAUCCAGGGGCCUGACGGUACCGGGAGAAGAAGCACCGGCUAACUCUGUGCCAGCAGCCGCGGUAAUACAGAGGGUGCAAGCGUUGUUCGGAAUUAUUGGGCGUAAAGCGCGUGUAGGCGGCUUGGCAAGUCAGAUGUGAAAGCCCAUGGCUUAACCAUGGAAGUGCGUCUGAAACUGCUGAGCUUGAGUGCCGGAGAGGAUGGCGGAAUUCCGCAAGUAGAGGUGAAAUUCGUAGAUAUGCGGAGGAACACCGGUGGCGAAGGCGGCCAUCUGGACGGCAACUGACGCUGAGACGCGAAAGCGUGGGGAGCAAACAGGAUUAGAUACCCUGGUAGUCCACGCUGUAAACGAUGAGAACUAGGUGUCGUGGGUGUUGACCCCCGCGGUGCCGUAGCUAACGCAUUAAG